CUUCAACGGAGAGUUUGAUCCUGGCUCAGGAUGAACGCUGGCGGCGUGCUUAACACAUGCAAGUCGAACGAUGACCCGGUGCUUGCACCGGUGAUUAGUGGCGAACGGGUGAGUAACACGUGAGUAACCUGCCCUUAA
rnacentral:rRNA from 1 species